UGGGGAAUAUUGGUCAAUGGGGGAAACCCUGAACCAGCGACGCCGCGUGAGGGAAGACGGUUUUCGGAUUGUAAACCUCUGUCUGAAGGGAAGAGAACGGACUGUACCUUUAGAGGAAGCCACGGCUAACUACGUGCCAGCAGCCGCGGUAAUACGUAGGUGGCAAGCGUUAUCCGGAAUUACUGGGUGUAAAGGGAGCGUAGGCGGAAAGACAAGUAAAAUGUGAAAUUUCCCGGCUUAACCGGGAAGCUGCGUUUUAAACUGUUUUUCUUGAGUGAAGUAGAGGUAAGCGGAAUUCCAUGUGUAGCGGUGAAAUGCGCAGAUAUAUGGAGGAACACCGGUGGCGAAGGCGGCUUACUGGGCUUUAACUGACGCUGAGGCUCGAAAGCGUGGGUAGCAAACA
rnacentral:rRNA from 1 species